GACUCCAGUUGGUGAUGCAAUUAGUAGCACUGUUACUUUGCAGCAAUAAGGUCCUGGGUUCAAAUCCCAGCCUGGGGUCU